ensembl:lncRNA
GGGGUGAUGAGGGGACCCCAAAGCUGUAGGGAAGGGGAGCGGAGACCCCAUAACAGAGCGGAGACCCCAUAACAGAGCAGAGGCCCCACAACAAACAGAGGGGAGACCCCAUAACAGAGCGGAGACCCCACAACAACAAAUAGAGCGCUCUGUGAGACCCUAUAAGAAACAAAGGGGGUCCCAUCGGGUCGGCGCUGAAGCGGGUCCCUGCAGCUCCGCACCCCACAGUGAGCAGCAGCCCCGUAUGGUCGGCCCCAUGAGGGAGCGGGGGGGAACCACACAGCGACCCCAUAGCCCCACACAGACCCCAUAGUCCCAUAUAGACCCCAUAGCCCCGCAUGGACUCCAUAGCCCCAUGCAGACCCCAUAGCCC